rnacentral:rRNA from 1 species
AUGGCGCUGAAGAUGGCGAGAAAGGCACUGGCCUCCUCGUCGAGUUCGGUUGCGGACCAUAAGAGUUGGAUGGAGUUAUGGGCUGCGGAUGUUAAAAUCCAUGGCUGGUGGAUGUUAAAAAAUGGGCUGGCUGUUGGCUAUGAACUCUUACGACGACAUGUCAAGCCUGGGGUUUUCUGCAUCACAUGUGGUAGAGAAGAAACGAUAACGCAUAGAGUGUGGCGAUGCCCACACUCGCUGUUGUUCUGGAAAGCUCUAUCCAGAGCUAUAACAACGCCCCUGCCACAGCUGCCCAAGCACGUCGAGGGCAUACAGAGCGUGCAAUCAUGGGUGUUAGACUGGCUCGGCACAUCUUCCGAAGAAGAGAAGAGAGUGGUGAUGCGGGCGUCGUACGAGUUGUGGCUCGCGAGAAACAAUGCAAGGGAAUGUGCCAAGAUCGAAGACCCUAUGCUCAUUGCAGAUAGAGUUACCCGUCUUGACGAGGAGUGGCAAACGAUCAAGGAGAGUACAAGAAGACCACAAGUUCAGAGGAGCAUGGAAACUUGGGCGAAACCUGAUGAAGGAUGGUCGAAGGUGAACAUAGAUGGAGCUCUAACUAAGCAAGGUGGAUCGGGAGGAGGUGGAGCGGUCCUCAAGGACCACCAUGGCUCGUCCGUGGCAGGAGUGAGUCAUUUUUUCCCAGUUGAUUCGGAUCCGGAACUUGCAGAGCUUCUGGCGUGUCGCCGAGGGGUUCUACUUGCUCAAGAAAACGAAGUCCAGAAAGUGGUGCUCGAGAUGGACUCAAUGUCAGCGGUAGGGAAGAUCAAUAACGUCCAGAGAGACCUAUCGGUGAGUGGUCAAAUUGUCCGAGAGAUCAAGGAACUGCUAGCUCAAUUUCAAGAGUUCAUCCAGGUAUUCGUUCAAGUACACAUUUAG